rnacentral:rRNA from 1 species
UACGUAGGGGGCAAGCGUUGUCCGGAUUUAUUGGGCGUAAAGAGCGUGUAGGCGGCUGGGUAGGUCCGUUGUGAAAACUCGAGGCUCAACCUCGAGACGCCGAUGGAAACCCUCCAGCUAGAGUCCGGAAGAGGAGAGUGGAAUUCCUGGUGUAGCGGUGAAAUGCGCAGAUAUCAGGAGGAACACCGGUGGCGAAGGCGGUUCUCUGGGCCUUACCUGACACUGAGGAGCGAAAGCGUGGGGAGCGAACAGG